CCCAGACUCCUACGGGAGGCAGCAGUGGGGGAUAUUGCACAAUGGGGGGAACCCUGAUGCAGCGACGCCGCGUGGGUGAAGGAGUAUUUCGGUAUGUAAAGCCCUCUCGGCAGGGAAGAAGCAAGACGGUACCUGACUAAGAAGCCCCGGCUAACUACGUGCCAGCAGCCGCGGUAAUACGUAGGGGGCGAGCGUUAUCCGGAUUCACUGGGUGUAAAGGGAGCGUAGACGGCCAAGCAAGCCAGGGGUGAAAGCCCGGGGCCCAACCCCGGGACUGCCCUUGGAACUGCUUGGCUGGAGUGCGGGAGGGGCAGGCGGAAUUCCUGGUGUAGCGGUGAAAUGCGUAGAUAUCAGGAGGAGCAUCGGUGGCGUAAGCGCUUUACUGGGCCGUAAUUGACACUGAGGAACGAAAGCCAGGGUAGCAAAUGGGAUUAGAUACCCUUGUA
rnacentral:rRNA from 1 species